rnacentral:lncRNA from 1 species
AUGUAGUCAAUGUGGUAAAGCCUUUUCACAAUCAAGCCACCUCCAACUACAUAAAAGAACACAUACAUACUAAAGAGUAACCCUAUGAAUGUAACCAAUGUAGUAAAGCCUUUACUGUGAUCUUCAAAGGUAUGGUGGUUUAAAUAUACUUGGCCCAUGGCAAGUGGCAGUGUUAGGAGGUAUGGCCUUUUUGGAGUAGAUGUGGCCUUUGAGGAAGUAUGUCACUGUGGAGGGGGGAUGGGCUUUGAGACCCCAUGCUUAAACUCUACCCAGGGCAGAAGAGUCUUCUGGCUGCCUUCUGAUCAAGAUGUAGAACUCUCUCCUCCAGCACCAUGUCUGCUCGGACACUGACAUUCCUUCCACCUUGAUAAUA